AGAGUUUGAUCCUGGCUCAGGAUGAACGCUAGCGACAGGCUUAACACAUGCAAGUCGAGGGGCAGCACAGGUAGCAAUACCGGGUGGCGACCGGCGCACGGGUGAGUAACGCGUAUGCAACUUACCUAUCAGAGGGGGAUAACCCGGCGAAAGUCGGACUAAUACCGCAUGAAGCAGGGGCCCCGCAUGGGGAUAUUUGCUAAAGAUUCAUCGCUGAUAGAUAGGCAUGCGUUCCAUUAGGCAGUUGGCGGGGUAACGGCCCACCAAACCGACGAUGGAUAGGGGUUCUGAGAGGAAGGUCCCCCACAUUGGUACUGAGACACGGACCAAACUCCUACGGGAGGCAGCAGUGAGGAAUAUUGGUCAAUGGGCGUAAGCCUGAACCAGCCAAGUCGCGUGAGGGAUGAAGGUUCUAUGGAUCGUAAACCUCUUUUAUAAGGGAAUAAAGUGCGGGACGUGUCCCGUUUUGUAUGUACCUUAUGAAUAAGGAUCGGCUAACUCCGUGCCAGCAGCCGCGGUAAUACGGAGGAUCCGAGCGUUAUCCGGAUUUAUUGGGUUUAAAGGGUGCGUAGGCGGCCUUUUAAGUCAGCGGUGAAAGUCUGUGGCUCAACCAUAGAAUUGCCGUUGAAACUGGGGGGCUUGAGUAUGUUUGAGGCAGGCGGAAUGCGUGGUGUAGCGGUGAAAUGCUUAGAUAUCACGCAGAACCCCGAUUGCGAAGGCAGCCUGCCAAGCCAUGACUGACGCUGAUGCACGAAAGCGUGGGGAUCAAACAGGAUUAGAUACCCUGGUAGUCCACGCAGUAAACGAUGAUCACUAGCUGUUUGCGAUACAUUGUAAGCGGCACAGCGAAAGCGUUAAGUGAUCCACCUGGGGAGUACGCCGGCAACGGUGAAACUCAAAGGAAUUGACGGGGGCCCGCACAAGCGGAGGAACAUGUGGUUUAAUUCGAUGAUACGCGAGGAACCUUACCCGGGUUUGAACGCAUUCGGACCGAGGUGGAAACACCUUUUCUAGCAAUAGCCGUUUGCGAGGUGCUGCAUGGUUGUCGUCAGCUCGUGCCGUGAGGUGUCGGCUUAAGUGCCAUAACGAGCGCAACCCUUGCCACUAGUUACUAACAGGUGAUGCUGAGGACUCUGGUGGGACUGCCAGCGUAAGCUGCGAGGAAGGCGGGGAUGACGUCAAAUCAGCACGGCCCUUACAUCCGGGGCGACACACGUGUUACAAUGGCGUGGACAAAGGGAAGCCACCUGGCGACAGGGAGCGAAUCCCCAAACCACGUCUCAGUUCGGAUCGGAGUCUGCAACCCGACUCCGUGAAGCUGGAUUCGCUAGUAAUCGCGCAUCAGCCAUGGCGCGGUGAAUACGUUCCCGGGCCUUGUACACACCGCCCGUCAAGCCAUGGGAGCCGGGGGUACCUGAAGUCCGUAACCGCGAGGAUCGGCCUAGGGUAAAACUGGUGACUGGGGCUAAGUCGUAACAAGGUAGCCGUACCGGAAGGUGCGGCUG
rnacentral:rRNA from 1 species